GAGGCGACGCAGUUUUCAGCGCUCCCGCCGAAAUGGUUAACAGUUGGCAAACCUGAGUGUGUCCACGCACCGUGUUUGUUAUUUCUCUGUGUUAAAAGUACGCUCUAAACACGAUUUUUGGGAGCCCGAUUAAUACCCCGAAGCGUAAAAAACCCUCACUAAAAAUAAGCCGGUAGAAUAACGCCCGGACGCGCCGUUUUCGUGUGGCGUCGACCCGUCGUUGUGAUGGGUAUCAAACGUCACUCUGAAUACACUGUGUGAGCUAACCGGACCCAACGAUCGUCCAGCUCGCAGACUAACAUGUACAUCAAACAGGUUAUCAUACAAGGUUUCAAAUCCUAUCGAGAACAGACCGUUGUAGUGCCCUUCGAUCCGAGGCACAAUGUGGUCGUCGGCAGGAAUGGAUCGGGCAAGAGCAACUUUUUCUACGCUAUCCAGUUUGUGCUUAGCGACGAAUUCUCCCACCUUCGGCCUGAGCAGCGUCAAGCCCUUCUUCACGAAGGCACGGGUCCACGCGUCAUCUCUGCUUAUGUCGAAAUUAUCUUUGACAACUCGGAUGGACGUCUUCCGAUCGACAAGGAUGAGGUUUAUCUCAGGCGAAUGAUCGGGUCGAAAAAAGAUCAGUACUUUCUGAACAAGAAAAUAGUGACGCGAAGCGACGUCAUGAAUUUGCUCGAAUCGGCUGGAUUUUCCAGGUCCAAUCCAUAUUACAUCGUCAAGCAGGGAAAGAUCAACCAAAUGGCAACGGCCCCAGACUCGCAGCGGUUGAAAUUGCUCAGAGAAGUGGCCGGCACUCGAGUCUACGACGAUAGACGCGAGGAGUCAAAGGCGAUCCUUAAAGAGACUGAAGGAAAGCUUGAGAAAAUAGAAGACUUUUUGCGAACCAUAGAGGAGCGUUUGAAGACAUUGGAGGAGGAAAAGGAGGAGCUGAAGGAGUACCAACGCUGGGACAAACAGCGGCGGUGUCUGGAGUACACAAUCCACGAACGCGAGCUGAAGGAAAGUAAGAAAAAGCUGGAAGACUUGGAAGAGUCACGCGCUAACAGCGGUGCUAUGCAAGCCAAACUUGGAGCCGAUGCGAAGGCUGCCCAGGAGGCUGUGCGUUCGGCAGCCAAGCGGCUCAAGGAGGCCAAGAAGGAGGUGAGUUCCGCCAAGGAGGAACGCGACACGCUCAGUGCUGAGCAGCAGCAGCUCCUCAAGGAGAAGACCAAGCUCACGUUGACGAUCAACGAUCUGCUCGAGGAGGUUAAGGGUGACAAUGACAGCAGAAAAAGAGCGGAGCAAGAGCUGGAGAAGUUAAAAAUAAACAUUGCUGGGAGGGAAGAGGAGCUCGAGAAGAUAAAGCCUCAGUACGAGCAAAUGAAAGGCGUUGAAGAAGAAUGUACGCGUGAACUCGCGCUGAAGGAGCAAAAGCGGAAGGAGCUUUACGCGAAACAAGGCAGAGGCGCUCAGUUUACAAACAGGGCAGAAAGAGACAAGUGGAUUCAGGACGAACUCAAGCAGCUUACCAAGCAGAUCAAAGACAAGCAGGAUCACCAGGCAAAGAUAAGCGAGGACCUGAAGAGGGACGCCGAGAAGCAGAUCGCACUCGAGAAGAAGAUUGAGGAUCAUACGCGUGAAAUGGAGCGUCAAAGGGCCUCGAUCGAUGAACACAACAAGCAGUAUUAUGACCUUACCAAGGCCAAGGAUCAAUGCCAGGCUACACGGAAGGAACAAUACCGCCAGGAAAGCGUUCUUCAGUUAAAUCUUUCGGGACUGAAGGAAGACCUUGCGAAGGCCGAUCAAAGUCUUCGUUCCAUGGCUGGAAAACCAAUCCUGAAUGGCAGGGACAGCGUUCGCAAAGUGUUGGACACGUUUCGGGAACGCCGAGACAUGGCGCACGAAGUGAGCAGCUACUACGGCCCUGUGAUCGAAAACUUUGACUGCGACAAGAGCAUCUACACUGCGGUUGAAGUGACCGCCGGUAAUCGACUGUUUCACCAUAUUGUCGAAACGGACAAAUUCGGUACUAAGAUACUGAAGGAAAUGAACAACCAGCAGUUGCCUGGUGAGGUGACUUUCAUGCCUCUGAAUCGCCUCCACGUCAAAGUCAUCGAUUAUCCUCAGACGAGCGAUGCCAUACCAAUGAUAUCAAAGCUCAACUACGAUCCCAAAUACGAUCGUGCUUUGCGAUACAUAUUUGGAAAGACUUUGAUCUGUCGAAACCUGGAGGCGGCGACGAGCCUGGCACGAACAUCUGGACUGGACUGUGUGACUUUGGAGGGUGAUCAGGUGUCUUCAAAGGGUUCUCUGACCGGUGGCUACUUCAACUCGUCCAGAUCUCGUCUCGAGAUCCAAAAGACCAGGUCAGAACUCAUGACGCAGAUCAGCACGCUUGAGGAACAGAUGUCGACGCUGAAAGAUGAGCUCAGGACCACUGAACAAAGCAUCAGCUCCUACGUCAGCGAGAUGCAGAGAACGGAGACUAAGAACAGCAAGGCUAAAGACAUUUUCGAUAAAAUGAAGGCAGAGAUACGACUGAUGAAGGAGGAACUCAGCGCUAUCGAGAGAUACAGAACGCCCAAGGAGCGCAGCUUGGCUCAGUGCACCUCUAAUCUCGAGGCGAUGACUGCUACCAAGGAGGGCCUGGAGAGUGAGCUGCACCAGGAGUUGAUGGCUCAGUUGUCAGUCGCUGAUCAGCACCAGGUCGAUACGCUGAACGAUGACAUCAGACGUCUGACUAAAGAAAACAAAGAGGCGUUCGCCAAGAGAAUGCGGCUUGAGGCGGACAAAAAUAAACUCGAGAAUCUGCUGACGAAUAACUUGGUGCGGCGUAAAGACGAGCUGGUUCAAGCACUGCAGGAAAUCUCCGUCGAAGAUCGUCAGCGUCAGUUGGAAUCAUCCAAGGCGCAGCUCGCGGAUAUCGAAAAGCGCCUAGUUAAAGUAAACUCAGACUUCAAGGCACAGAAUGACAAGGUUUCUAGCGCCAUGAAGAAGAAAAUUUUAUUGCUGUUCGUCAGCAAAAAGCCGAGUCAGCGGAAGUCGAGAAGUGGAAAGUUGCGGAGAAGGAGGCACAGGAGAAGAUCGAGGCAGAUGCUAAGGAUCUGGAAAAACUGGCAAGCAAACAAAACAUCGUACAGCAAAAGAUUGCCGAGUGUACGCAGAAGAUCACUGAGCUCGGUGCUCUGCCGAGUCACGAAGCGUUCGGAAAGUUGAGUAAAUUAACAACGAAGCAGCUGUUCAGAGAAAUGGAAAAGGCGAAUAAUCAUUUAAAGAAAUACAGUCACGUCAACAAAAAAGCACUGGACCAGUUCAUGUCAUUCAGCGAUCAAAAGGAGAAAUUGGUCAAGCGUAAGGAGGAACUGGAUCGCGGUGAUGAAAAGAUCAAGGAACUCAUGCUUGUCUUGGAGCAGCGCAAGUGCG
rnacentral:misc_RNA from 1 species